rnacentral:misc_RNA from 1 species
GAGGACAUUUAGUGUGAAAGAUGAAGCUGCCAGGGUUAUGGUAGCAGCCCCUUUCUUGGCCUUCUUGUCAACUCAUAUCUUAUAUCUCAAUUUUUACAAACUUGACCAUGGGUUGAACAUGAAGGUCUGCAUUGCAUUGGGCGUCACUCAAAUACUCCUGUGGGUAGGAUGGGCUGCUGUGACUCGCCACCCAUCGAAAUUCAAG